rnacentral:lncRNA from 1 species
UAUCUUGUUUACAUUGAAACAAAUGCACCUUUCUUUUUUCCAAUUGUCUGCAUUACAGGUCUGCAAAGUCAUCUUAGUCCUCCUGCCCAAGCAAGACUGCUCCCUGCAGUAUUUUCUAGUGUGCUGUCCAGUCCAGCUUUAAAUGACCUAGCAGAAAGGGGUUUCUGCUACUUCCCUUCAGAGUCUCUCUCUCUCUCUAGUUUUGAAUACAUAGAGAUCAAUUUAGGUUUUAAUAUCUGCUGCAAGUCUCAAAUACAAAGGAGAACUUCUUGUUAUCCCUGCAUAGAAGAGUUCACAAGAAUACUAUCACUGAGCAAAAGAGCAAGAGCCCUAGAGCGAUUACAUGUGUCAACCACAGAAGAGCUAUGGGGUGUUACAGCGCCGACUGGACUGGAAUGUAUGGCUGCAAGACUUCUUCACCAGCGACAAAGGACAGGAAUAUGAUGCACCUAAAAUCUAAAAAGGCCCACACAUUUCCCAGAGUCACUACCCUUGAUAACAGAACAUCAAUGAUUGCAUGGGCUACUUGGAUCACAACAGCCCCCACAGUAGACUUGCCCACAACAGCAGCGGUGACUGUGAGCUGAGCGGGCUCCAUGCUUGCCGUGGUAUGGCGUCUGCAUG